rnacentral:misc_RNA from 1 species
GGAAGUAAAAGUCGUAGCAAGGUCUCCGUUGGUGAACCAGCGGAGGGAUCAUUACCGAGUUCCAGCAACUCCCAACCCUUGCGAACUGUACCCCAGUCUGUUCUCGUUGCUUCCGGCAGGCGAGGGGGGCCACCUGGCCCCUCCCCCUGCCGGGGGCGGCGGGCCCUCUGACCCUUUAUAUCUCAACCACUGAAACCCGUCUGAGCAAAACAAAAAAUAAUCAGAACUUUCAACAACGGAUCUCUUGGCUCUG